rnacentral:rRNA from 1 species
CUGUAAGCCGUUGAAGGUGUCCUGUGAGGGGUGCUGGAGGUAUCAGAAGUGCGAAUGCUGACAUAAGUAACGAUAAAGCGGGUGAAAAGCCCGCUCGCCGGAAGACCAAGGGUUCCUGUCCAACGUUAAUCGGGGCAGGGUGAGUCGACCCCUAAGGCGAGGCCGAAAGGCGUAGUCGAUGGGAAACAGGUUAAUAUUCCUGUACUUGGUGUUACUGCGAAGGGGGGACGGAGAAGGCUAUGUUAGCCGGGCGACGGUUGUCCCGGUUUAAGCAUGUAGGCGGAGGUUCCAGGUAAAUCCGGUUCCUUGUUAACGCUGAGGUGUGAUGACGAGGCACUACGGUGCUGAAGUAACAAAUGCCCUGCUUCCAGGAAAAGCCUCUAAGCAUCAGGUAACAUCAAAUCGUACCCCAAACCGACACAGGUGGUCAGGUAGAGAAUACCAAGGCGCUUGAGAGAACUCGGGUGAAGGAACUAGGCAAAAUGGUGCCGUAACUUCGGGAGAAGG